AUAUUUGUAUCUAUUUCUAUAUAUAUAUGUGUGUAAUUGCAUAAUAUUUUGUCAACAAAACUGGAAGCUCUGGGAGGGAAGUGACUCUCUUUCGCCGACUUUUGACUUUUAUCUAUAAUGUCUGGCAUGUAAUUAGCAUCGGGGACAUAUUUUUGAACAAGUGAAUAAAUUGUUUUCCCACAAAUAAUAAUAGAAAUUUAAUGGUAAGUAAAAGCUCAGAAUGUUUAUUAGAAUCAUGAUUGUAGCCUUUGUUAUUACCAAACAGUGAAUUUAAAAGGAAAGAAUAAUCAAGGUGUUUGUAUAAAAAUGACUUUUAUUAUUGUUUGUGCAAGAACAGUGAACAUUCCCUAGUACAGGAAGCAACUUUCAAAAACUGCUGGCAGAACUAAGAAGUCAGAUUGUCCUUGACCCUUAGAUCAGAUGUUUUCGAGCCUGAGUUUCCUUAAAUCUUCUUCAGUUGAGAAUAAACAUUUUGACAAAAUGGAAGAUUUAUUCUGUUAAUUUUUGGUCUUCAUAAACAACCUAACUAAAUUUGCUAAAACAACAAAAACUUUCUGAUUCUUACUAGUUUCAUUUUUUAAAAAGUUUGUUUCCUUUGUUCCUGCAUAACACUUUAAAAUGAGCUCAGCUGUAUUAGCAGAUAAACAUGUUGAUUCGUUUGGUCCAGAGCUACUGAAUGAAGCUUGGAGGAGCACAGUUUGUUCUUUACACCACCCAGGGGCAGAAUGUUUUUCUUCCUCUCUUCUAUUGAGAGAAGGGGACUGGAAUAAGUGACUGCCCUUAUUUAGGUUUGCCUGAAUUGUUUAGGAGGGAAGGAGGAACGAUUUCUUCACCACUUAUCCUUUGUCUCAUUUAAAUUGUCAUUAACAUAAAGUAUAUUCACUCAUAUUGUAAUAUACAUGUUGAAUUAUUAACUUAUUGUCAUACAUUUACAGCUUUUACAAAGCCAUUGUACUUAAUGCUGUGGAAUCAGAGUUGUCUUUAGGCGUGUUGCAUUUUUGAGGGUGGACUUAAUUUUGUAAGCAAAGAGAAGUAUGCCCUAUCCAGUGGAGUGGAGUUGAGAUAAUGCUCAGUUGGCCCCUCAUAUCCAUUGUCGAUUCUGCAUCUGUGGAUCUACCAACGAUGUGUCAAAAAUACUUGCAGGAAAAAAAAAAGAAUGGUUACGUCCAUACUGAACAUGUAUAGACUUUUUCCCCUUAUUUUCUCCUAAGCCAUACAGUGUAACAACUAUUUACAUACUAUUUACAUUGUAUUAGGUAUUAUAAAUAAUCUAGAGAUGAUUUAAAGUAUAGGCCUGCCUUGUUUUAUUGCACUUUGCUAAUCAUUCCUUACAAAUUGAAGAUUUGAGACAACCUUGAGUUGAGCCAGUCUGUCAGUGCCAUUUUUCCAAGAGCAUGUGCUUCUGUUGUGUCUCUGUGUCACAUUUUGGGUAAUUCUUGCAAUAUUUCAAAAAUUUUCAUUAUUUUAUCUGUUAUGGUGAUCUAUGAUCAGUGAUCUUUGAUGUUACUGUUGUAAUUGUUUUGGGGCACCAUGAACCAUUACCCAUGUAAGGUGAUGAACUUAAUAAACAUGUAAGUUCUUACUGCUCCAGCAACUGGCUGUACCCCUGUCUUUCUUCUGAGACAACAAUAUUGAAAUUAGGCCAGUUAAUGACCCUGCAGUGGCCUCUACAUGCUCAAG